rnacentral:rRNA from 1 species
CCUACGGGGGGCAGCAGUGGGGAAUAUUGGACAAUGGGGGCAACCCUGAUCCAGCCAUGCCGCGUGUGUGAAGAAGGCCCUCGGGUUGUAAAGCACUUUCAGUGAGGAAGAACGCCUGGUGGUUAAUACCCAUCAGGAAAGACAUCACUCACAGAAGAAGCACCGGCUAACUCCGUGCCAGCAGCCGCGGUAAUACGGAGGGUGUGAGCGUUAAUCGGAAUUACUGGGCGUAAAGCGCGCGUAGGUGGCUUGAUAAGCCGGUUGUGAAAGCCCCGGGCUCAACCUGGGAACGGCAUCCGGAACUGUCAAGCUAGAGUGCAGGAGAGGAAGGUAGAAUUCCCGGUGUAGCGGUGAAAUGCGUAGAGAUCGGGAGGAAUACCAGUGGCGAAGGCGGCCUUCUGGACUGACACUGACACUGAGGUGCGAAAGCGUGGGUAGCAAACAGGAUUAGAUACCCGGGUAGUC